rnacentral:rRNA from 1 species
UACGUAGGGUGCAAGCGUUAAUCGGAAUUACUGGGCGUAAAGCGUGCGCAGGCGGUUUUGUAAGUCAGAUGUGAAAUCCCCGGGCUUAACCUGGGAACUGCGUUUGAAACUACAAGGCUAGAGUGUGGCAGAGGGGGGUGGAAUUCCACGUGUAGCAGUGAAAUGCGUAGAGAUGUGGAGGAACACCGAUGGCGAAGGCAGCCCCCUGGGUUAACACUGACGCUCAGGCACGAAAGGCGUGGGGAGCAAACAGG